GCCUGGGUGGCUCAGUGGUUGAGCAUCUGCCUUCGGCUCAGACCAUGAUCCCAGCAUUCUGGGAUCGAGUCCCACAUCAGGCU
rfam:Canis lupus familiaris chromosome 9, whole genome shotgun sequence.